UACGUAGGGGGCAAGCGUUGUCCGGAUUUAUUGGGCGUAAAGAGCGUGUAGGCGGCCAGACAGGUCCGUUGUGAAAACUCGAGGCUCAACCUCGAGAUGUCGAUGGAAACCGUCUGGCUAGAGUCCGGAAGAGGAGUGUGGAAUUCCUGGUGUAGCGGUGAAAUGCGCAGAUAUCAGGAAGAACACCAAUAGCGAAGGCAGCUCGCUGGGACGUAACUGACACUGAGAUGCGAAAGCGUGGGGAGCAAACAGG
rnacentral:rRNA from 1 species